AUUUAUCUGAAUGUUGAUGUUGCUUUGUAGUUUCGUUCAGAUAAGCAUGGUACUCCAGUCUUGUUAACAUGGACGCAGCACACAUUUGCGAUAAACUAUCAACUACAAUAGAUUUGACAACCAUGCAUAUGACUUUUUUUUUUUAAGGCUCAUAAUAGUUCAGUCCAGGAUUAAUGUUUUCAUUUGGGGUGGCGGGUAGCCAAGUGGUUAGAAAAUUGGGCCAGUAACCACAAUGUUGCUGGAUCGAAUCCCCGAGGUGACAACUUAAAUCUGUUCCCCAGAACAAGGCAGUUAACUACCGGGGACCGUGUGUCAUUGCUGAAGCGUAAAAGGCGAAAGAUGAGGCAGAGGUCCAAGUAGACUGGCCCAUUCCCCUACUGCUGUGAUUGUUUUUCCCCACCCACUCCAAGCCCCCUGUUUGAAGCCAGCGGUCCAUGAUUUGCAAAGAGCUGAACCAUGGUUGUCUGAAGCCGGUCUCAUUGGUGUGAAGGACGGAUCCCGCAUACCCAGCCCUCUACUCUGCCAAUGGCACCUGGCUGUUGACUACUGCUAGAAUCUCUCCUGUUGUUGGACUCUGGCCUUUUACCACCUGCACAGCUGAUUUGUUGUGAAGACCAUAAUAAAUAUUUGGUUUACUAACUACAUUACUGUCUCUGUAAACAUUGAUUGAUGUUCAUAUCAAAGUUUAUUGGUCAC
rnacentral:lncRNA from 1 species